GACGAACGCUGGCGGCGUGCUUAACACAUGCAAGUCGAACGGAAAGGCCCUGCUUUUGUGGGGUGCUCGAGUGGCGAACGUGUGAGUAACACGUGAGUAACCUGCCCUUGACUUUGGGAUAACUUCAGGAAACUGUGUCUAAUACCGGAUAGGAGCUCCUGCUGCAUGGUGGGGGUUGGAAAGUUUCGGCGGUUGGGGAUGGACUCGCGGCUUAUCAGCUUGUUGGUGGGGUAGUGGCUUACCAAGGCUUUGACGGGUAGCCGGCCUGAGAGGGUGACCGGCAAAAUGGGGACUGAGAUACGGAACAGAAUCCAACGGGAGGCAGCAGUGGGGAAGAGUGCAAAAUGGGAGGAAGCAUGAUGAAGAAACGCAGGGAGCGGGAUGACGGCCUUCGGGUUGAAAAACGAUUUCGCCUGUGACGAAGCGUGAGUGACGGUAAUGGGUAAAGAAGCACCGGCUAACUACGUG
rnacentral:rRNA from 1 species